UGCUCACACAAAAAUCGCUGCAAAAGAUGCUUUCCAACAGGUGUUUUAGCAUUCGUUGUAAACUUGUGGACCUAUUUUUCCAAACGCCUCACACCCGUACAGUCUUCCGUUGAGAGCUUGAAUAAUAAACACUCCAGCCCAGUUGGUGGCGAUAAUCCGCCUUUGCCAAUUGCAAGAAUAGAAACAAAGUUCCCGGUGCGGAGUAAUACCGUACCUCACAGCACAACUAAUACAAGUCAAUGGAGUUGGACAAAAACUACGAUAAAACCUGUUGGAAUGCAUCUUUUGCAGCGAUUUUUGUGUGAGCAUACCAGUGAACACCCCUGACCACUCGGUGAGUUCCAAAUCUUUGUAAACGAAAGUUUAAUGCAUUUUAGGAAGGAUUGUUCCAGUGCACCUUUACAGCCAUUGUAGAGGUGGGAGGUGAUACACCAAACACCCAAAAUUUCUCGGGCCAGCAUCAUAUGUCCAAAUUUCAGUCAAAACCGUUCUAUUUCAUCAUAAACAAUCUGAAAACAGGGCUUUAAGUGUAAAAUACCGAACUUGUCCUUUAAAACAAAGUCAUAGUGCAACAAAAAAUUAAGCCUGAAAUGGGAGUAAAAAUGUGAGAUUCAUCCUUAAAUAAGUCUUACUAGCAACAUUUUGUUUUCCGAAAAUCAUCAAUACUAAAACACACCAAGUUUUGCUGGCAAACCUUUUUAGUGUCAUGACCAACCCAUUUUUAUUUCCGUCUGUUUUUAAGUGAACAUAUUGGGAACAUAUUUGUAAUUCCUUACAAAGGUUAAUGGAAAUUGUUUGAGUAAUAUCGACGUUUUGGAGGGGAUAUGGUUAGAUAAGGCUGCAAACACUCCACAGCAAAAUGAUUUUAAUAUAUGCAAGAUGAAAUUGUGGGAGAAAUUAGUUUUUGCUAUUUAAUGAUUGUUUAUCGAGUCACUUUUAUUUAUUUUUAUUUUGUGAGAAUGGGACACAUCGGCAGUAAACGUCAAAAAUAUUGCCAAGGGGUUUUCUUGAAGUGUUUUUCUGUAUAAGUAACUUUUUUUGCAUCAAAUUUUUGAAAUGUCCCUAUGAUGGGUUUAAAUACAGUAUGAGCCUGCAUUAGUUUAAUUUUAGCAAUAAUUCAUGAUAUUUUCUUAAGAUAUUCUUUAAUAUUCCACUGAUGAUCUUAAUUUUGUUUUGGUACAUCCCAAAGUAAACUAUUUAAUAUAUAGUGCUAUAUUUAAGUUUUAUACUGCGUUACUAAUGAGUUCAAGGUUUGCUAAUAAUUAAUGUGUGUUUAUUUUUUAUUCUUGUGCUGUUAUUAGGCAUUAGUGAUCAACACUGUAGUCAUGUCUGUAAAAAUGAGAAAUCAUUUCAUGAGAAACUGUUGUUUGUAAAAAGUUAAAAAUGGAACUUGAAGAUUUGCAAAGGUGCAGUGGAUAAAACGCAAUUUGUUCAGUUUUAAAUUAACCAGAAGGGAUCAAGUGUUUAACCCAUACCUGCAGGAAAUAUAAUCUCUAAAUCUGUUAUAGAAAAAACUACUGUUUUUACAUGUUCUGAUACAAUGUUUUUGUACGUUUGCCCCUAAAUGAUCGCACUACUGAGCCUAAGAAAGAUGCUGUUUGCUUUUAGACUUUAGCCUCUGUAUCACUGAAUACAAGACACACAUUAAUAUUCCACUGCUGUGCUAGUGAGAUACCAGUGUGAUCGAGAAGAACAGAUAACUUAUUUCACUUGAUCUUUCCGUGUAUAUGUGAGAGAGUAUGUCUGAGUGCUGUUUGCUGGGUCACUUUUCAAAACCUCAUGAAGAAUAUACUAGACAAUGCAAGAGGUCAUGGUCAAGGUCACGUCUUUUACCUCUCCUGUUUCUCUCCUAAACUCUCUUCCAUCUCUUGUCAUGCACACUGUACAUUUUCAUACCAGGAGUUUUGCCCAUCUUUAUUAUUUUUAAUGAGCAAGAUCCCAUUGAUUCAACAGUAAUAUAUGUGUCUAUGUUUAAAUCUUUGAAUGGAAUAUAAUAUAUUACAACUUGAGAAGUAAAUAUGUUGAUGACAGCGUAUUGUUAUCAAUGUAGAAGCAGUGUGUUGUCUUAAUGUUGCAAAUAAAACUCGAUUGGACCAAGGUA